rnacentral:rRNA from 1 species
UACGUAGGUGGCAAGCGUUGUCCGGAAUUACUGGGCGUAAAGGGUGCGUAGGUGGUUUCUUAAGUCAGAGGUGAAAGGCUACGGCUCAACCGUAGUAAGCCUUUGAAACUGGGAAACUUGAGUGCAGGAGAGGAGAGUGGAAUUCCUAGUGUAGCGGUGAAAUGCGUAGAUAUUAGGAGGAACACCAGUUGCGAAGGCGGCUCUCUGGACUGUAACUGACACUGAGGCACGAAAGCGUGGGGAGCAAACAGG